AUUAAUUCUCUUUCUCUUCUUGAAUUUCAUUUGGAAUCCCAUUGCUUAACACAAUUGCUUUUAAUCUGCUGCAAAUUCAUCUCAACAUGUAAAACCAAACUGAUCUUUAAUACCUGAUUACAGAAAACGGGAAUAAAGUUGGGGACUUUGAAUGUGUCAAUAUAUUACUUCUAAUUUCUCAAUUACUCCCGGAUCUGCUAACUUGACUCCAUGCCCUCUUUUUUCCUUUACAUUAUUACACUACUCUGUUCGAUAUCAAAGCUUUCUGAUUUUCUCCUAAAUUUUGGUUUAUUUUGUUCAGAUACAUUUCAUCCCUACACAGUUACGUACAGUUUUAAUUUGUAUCAAAAAAGAAAGAAAAACUUUGGUUUUGAGUCUGGCAUGAUCAAAUGGUUACCUGUUCUUGAAAAUUAAAUCCUUGUCAAUCACUUCUCCUUCACAAGAUAUAAGCGAGAUCAUCAUCCACCAACUCAAGCAUGAUGCUCUUCCUUUCCUAGUGGAACCUGCUAUUCAGUAUCAAGUGAAAGAGUUUU
rnacentral:lncRNA from 1 species